GAUGAACGCUGGCGGCGUGCCUAAUACAUGCAAGUUGAGCGAACAGACGAGGAGCUUGCUCCUCUGACGUUAGCGGCGGACGGGUGAGUAACACGUGGAUAACCUACCUAUAAGACUGGGAUAACUUCGGGAAACCGGAGCUAAUACCGGAUAAUAUAUUGAACCGCAUGGUUCAAUAGUGAAAGACGGUUUUGCUGUCACUUAUAGAUGGAUCCGCGCCGCAUUAGCUAGUUGGUAAGGUAACGGCUUACCAAGGCAACGAUGCGUAGCCGACCUGAGAGGGUGACCGGCCACACUGGAACUGAGACACGGUCCAGACUCCUACGGGAGGCAGCAGUAGGGAAUCUUCCGCAAUGGGCGAAAGCCUGACGGAGCAACGCCGCGUGAGUGAUGAAGGUCUUCGGAUCGUAAAACUCUGUUAUUAGGGAAGAACAAAUGUGUAAGUAACUAUGCACGUCUUGACGGUACCUAAUCAGAAAGCCACGGCUAACUACGUG
rnacentral:rRNA from 1 species